rnacentral:rRNA from 1 species
UACGUAGGGGGGCAAGCGUUUGUCCGGAUUUACUGGGCGUAAAGAGCGUGUAGGCGGCCACGCAGGUCCGUUGUGAAAACUGGAGGCUCAACCUCCAGCUGUCGACGGAAACCGUGUGGCUAGAGUCCGGAAGAGGAGAGUGGAAUUCCUGGUGUAGCGGUGAAAUGCGCAGAUAUCAGGAAGAACACCAAUGGCGAAGGCAGCUCUCUGGGACGGUAC